rnacentral:rRNA from 1 species
AACGAACGCUGGCGGCAUGCCUAACACAUGCAAGUCGAACGAGACCUUCGGGUCUAGUGGCGCACGGGUGCGUAACGCGUGGGAACCUGCCCUUAGGUUCGGAAUAACUCCCCGAAAGGGGUGCUAAUACCGGAUAAUGUCUUCGGACCAAAGAUUUAUCGCCUUUGGAUGGGCCCGCGUUGGAUUAGCUAGUUGGUAGGGUAAAAGCCUACCAAGGCGACGAUCCAUAGCUGGUCUGAGAGGAUGAUCAGCCACACUGGGACUGAGACACGGCCCAGACUCCUACGGGAGGCAGCAGUGGGGAAUAUUGGACAAUGGGCGAAAGCCUGACCCAGCAAUGCCGGGUGAGUGAUGAAGGCCUUAGGGUUGAAAAGCUUUUUUACCCGGGAUGAUAAUGACAGGACCGGGAGAAAAAGCCCCGGCUAACUCCGU